rnacentral:rRNA from 1 species
GAUGAACGCUGGCGGCGUGCCUAACACAUGCAAGUCGAGCGAACCCUUCGGGGUGAGCGGCGGACGGGUGAGUAACGCGUGGGUAACCUGCCCUGUACACACGGAUAACAUACCGAAAGGUAUGCUAAUACGGGAUAACAUAUGAGAGUCGCAUGGCUUUUGUAUCAAAGCUUUUGCGGUACAGGAUGGACCCGCGUCUGAUUAGCUAGUUGGUAAGGUAACGGCUUACCAAGGCAACGAUCAGUAGCCGACCUGAGAGGGUGAUCGGCCACAUUGGAACUGAGACACGGUCCAAACUCCUACGGGAGGCAGCAGUGGGGAAUAUUGCACAAUGGGCGAAAGCCUGAUGCAGCAACGCCGCGUGAGCGAUGAAGGCCUUCGGGUCGUAAAGCUCUGUCCUCAAGGAAGAUAAUGACGGUACUUGAGGAGGAAGCCCCGGCUAACUACGUGCCAGCAGCCGCGGUAAUACGUAGGGGGCUAGCGUUAUCCGGAAUUACUGGGCGUAAAGGGUGCGUAGGCGGUCUUUCAAGCCAGAAGUGAAAGGCUACGGCUCAACCGUAGUAAGCUUUUGGAACUGUAGGACUUGAGUGCAGGAGAGGAGAGUGGAAUUCCUAGUGUAGCGGUGAAAUGCGUAGAUAUUAGGAGGAACACCAGUAGCGAAGGCGGCUCUCUGGACUGUAACUGACGCUGAGGCACGAAAGCGUGGGGAGCAAACAGGAUUAGAUACCCUGGUAGUCCACGCCGUAAACGAUGAGUACUAGGUGUCGGGGGUUACCCCCCUCGGUGCCGCAGCUAACGCAUUAAGUACUCCGCCUGGGAAGUACGCUCGCAAGAGUGAAACUCGAAGGAAUUGACGGGGACCCGCACAAGUAGCGGAGCAUGUGGUUUAAUUCGAAGCAACGCGAAGAACCUUACCUAAGCUUGACAUCCCACUGACCUCUCCCUAAUCGGAGAUUUCCCUUCGGGGACAGUGGUGACAGGUGGUGCAUGGUUGUCGUCAGCUCGUGUCGUGAGAUGUUGGGUUAAGUCCCGCAACGAGCGCAACCCUUGCCUUUAGUUGCCAGCAUUAAGUUGGGCACUCUAGAGGGACUGCCGAGGAUAACUCGGAGGAAGGUGGGGAUGACGUCAAAUCAUCAUGCCCCUUAUGCUUAGGGCUACACACGUGCUACAAUGGGUGGUACAGAGGGUUGCCAAGCCGUGAGGUGGAGCUAAUCCCUUAAAGCCAUUCUCAGUUCGGAUUGUAGGCUGAAACUCGCCUACAUGAAGCUGGAGUUACUAGUAAUCGCAGAUCAGAAUGCUGCGGUGAAUGCGUUCCCGGGUCU